rnacentral:lncRNA from 10 species
AGACAUCUGGGCUGCUAGCUGCAUGAAGGAGCUACCCGCUGUGGGUCUCCUCUUUGCUGACAGCUGGACACUUGACAGAAUGACCUGCCUGAACUCGGGACCUGCAGAAUGAUGGGACUGAAGAAGCUGUAACACAAACAGGGCUAAAACACGCACUCUCCUCCCCCUGCUCCCCACCGCCCCACCCACUUGCCACAUUGGAGGUGAUGAGAAGGAGAGAAGAGCUGUGGCCUUUCAGGGAGCAUAGUCCCAGGGGCUCCCUGAGCCAGGGCUGUGAAACCCUCUUCCGGGCACUGCAGUUCCUGGCAUCUCCAAACUUCUGAGUGCCACCGCAUUCCCCGCGUCCGGAUGCAGGUCAAUGCACAGAAAGAAAUCUCUCUCCUGACUUUAGUACAAUGGCACGAUUGGUGGCCACAGUCCAAGGAUGGUUGCUGGGGCACCAAGAGAUUUCUGACAAAGGGCAUUAAAACUGAGAAAGUUUGGGAACCUCUGAAUGCUGUAGAAUAAUGGCCUCCAGCUCCACCCAAGUUGCUGCAAGAGACUUUAUUUCAUUUUUUUUAA